UACGAAGGGGGCUAGCGUUGUUCGGAAUUACUGGGCGUAAAGCGCACGUAGGCGGCUUCUUAAGUCAGGGGUGAAAUCCUGGGGCUCAACCCCAGAACUGCCCUUGAUACUGAGGAGCUUGAGUCCGGGAGAGGUGAGUGGAACUCCGAGUGUAGAGGUGAAAUUCGUAGAUAUUCGGAAGAACACCAGUGGCGAAGGCGGCUCACUGGCCCGGUACUGACGCUGAGGUGAGAAAGCGUGGGGAGCAAACAGG
rnacentral:rRNA from 1 species